UGUACGGGUUUGGAAUGGGAUGGUGGGCUCAGGUCAGUGCAGCCACAGUGCAGAGGGGCCUCAGGCACAGCCGCUUGCGCUGCAGCCGUCGCCGUCCGAGGGGGUGCAGAGCUGCAGCCACGGCCCGCGGGUGAACCGGGCACGGCAGAAGGACUCGGACCAGGAUCUGCUGCUGGAAGCAGCCCCAAAAAUUAAGGAUGCACCAAAACGAUUCUUUGCCAGUUUGCAUUUUCCUCUCUGCCACAGGGCUGAGGUGAGGGGGUAAGCGUGGCCUGGUUCUUAGCUUGUCUGUUACCGGUGUGGCUCCUUGUCCUGUUCAGCUGGUCCUGCUGACCCAAACAUGAACUACGGUGAAAAAGCUCUGUUUACUACCUGAGAACACAGGAUCUAGUAGGAUGGUGUCCGUGCCUUCAGCAGGAGCCUGUACACUUUACUGUUAUCCUAAACACAGCAAAAGUAAAGAUGUAAAUGGACCUUUCAGAUAACCUUUGUUUCAGUAAUCUAGGAAUGGAAAAUAAUAGUAAUAGUAUUAGUAAUAAUAAUCAUCAUCAUCAUCAUCCACUUUAAUGGGAUCUGAAGAGAUGUUUGGGACCUUGUUUGUGAGCUGCUCAUUUCCCUGGUCGUGCAGUUCCCCGAACCGCUGAUUUAUUUGACUGGUUGCAGCUUACAGUUUCAACGAGUCCAGCCACAACAGAAACAUUGCAAACGUGUCUGUAUCCCUUUGCCUGUGAUUGCCUUCACUCCAGGAACUAGUCAGGAGGUUUGAGGUGGGCAUCACCAGGACUGCUGCACCCCUCUCUCCCUGCCUUUCCUGUGUGACAGAGCCCUGCACUGGAUGCAGUAUUCUAGAUGUGGUCCAAGGGGUGCUGGAUGAAGCGGGAGACGAAACUGGCAGCUGGAUGGAUUUUAAACUUGGGGCAGCAGGGGAAUGAGAACCCCUCUCCGGGGCUGUAACUACCCUCCCAAAGGGACUCGGCUGUACCAUAGGGACAUAGUCACAGGUUUUCAUGCUGGGAAAUGCCAUGAGAGCAAGACUGGGAUUGUCACCAACCUGCACAGCUGAAACUGGUGUGUGAUAUGAAGGUGGCAGCUCUGAUACGAGCCUAUAGACUGGUAUGAGCUCAAUAUAGCUGUCAUGUUCGAGUUGUAAGCCCAGAUUCUCUUGUGAUUUUCCAGCUCUUUCAUGCCUCCCAUGUUCUUCAAAGUGGCUGAAAAGCAGUUAGAGAGUUUCCUGCAAUUUCCUUCAGAGUGUGAACAUUCUGAAGCAUCACACCAGGAGAUGGUAAAGAACACGUCAAGGCAGAUAGAAAGUGCAGCCAGUCUCGCUAUGCCUAAUGCAUCAUUACCUAGGCUGCUCUAACCUGUGUGAGGGUCAAGGACGAUGGAAAUCCUGCAAAAGCAAGAGCAAAAUGAGAACUGCAAAAGAAUAGAGCAUGUCUAGAGUACCUGCUCCUCUGAUACAGAGAGUUUGUUCAGCAGAGCUUGGCAUUAAUGUCCAUAAUAUGUAUUUUAUGUCCAUUACAUUGUAGCAUACUUUUUAUUCCACUGUCUUUGCAGCGCAACCGCCUUUGAAUUGGAGUCAUGAAAUACUAAAAAAAAGUUAGGGAAUGAUGUUAACAAUAUAACUUUCAGCCCAAGAACUGGAAAAAACCUAAGCUGACUACAAAGAAAGUGUACUCAGUCUCUACUACACUUCAGUACUUUGUGAUGGAAAAACCUCAGAAGAGUCUUGGUUUCAAAGCCUUUGCCAUGUCUCUUUCACUCUUUGUCAAGUUUAGCUCUCAGUGAUACAUUUUCACUGCCAUCAUCUGCUGAGGUUAGGUGCCUUCUUCCCCAAGACAAACUGCAGCCGUGUGAAGCCAGCAAAACCUCAAACAGAAUCAAGAAUGUUUUCCCCAAGAUUAAGGACAAUACUGUCAUAAAUGUCGCCGUAUUAACUUCUCUAAACCUUCCUGAGUGCUGAGUGAUUUUCCUGCAUGGAGAACAGAAGUAGCAUGCUCUUUUCACCAGUGCAAGAAAGAUAGUACUUUUAAUUUAUACUUAGUACUCUGCAUUUUAAACUUAAGUCAGAUUUAUUAACUAGUUACCUCUAUCUAAAUGUAUAUAAACCCAAUUACAUUAUUUUAUGUAAUAUAUGGAAACAAUUGAUUUGUCUACAUUGGUUAAUAUAUACAUGUAUAAAACUGACACUGCUCACACUGCAAGUAGGGAUUACUGAAGUGAGUUCUGCAUCAACUCCUGUUCAGACAGGGCUAGUUAGAUCUUUGGCAAUACUGCCUAGACAUAAUAUACAUUGACCUUUUUGUUAAGAUGGGUGCUGACAGAUCCAAUAAGAAUAAUGGAGAAAGAAGAAGAAAUGUUAUAGAUAGUAAGACUCAAUGGAGUUACUCGUUCAUGCUGGCUAAAGAUCUUGCCACCUAAUUAACACAAAGACAACCAAAAAUUUUGGUAUGGAACAGCUUAAAGGCAAGAUCAGACCCUUAUCUCUGAUCAGCCUUCUUUGCAGCUUGCACCAGCUAUGAAUACAUCAGGUCUGUGCUAACCUCCCUCUGCAAGCUAUGGACACGUCUCAGGGUGGCCCAGGAGCCGUGCAAGCCACAGUGGUUUCCAGAGCAGGGUAAGGAAGCCCUAACAGAAUUUCGUUCAAGCUUACGGAUCAGCAUGCUGUAACUGGAGCCCUGCUCAACACCACUGCUGCUUUUCCCACUGGUGCUUCUGACCUGUCUCUUUGAAGUGCAGUUCCCCACCGCCGCAGAAGGGAGUGUUUGGAGCAGCUCAGGAUCUGGCUUUAGGACCCAUCUUUACUUUACAUCACUAACUGUAAAGCUGCCCAUCCACGACACUGAUUUACAGCUUUAUUUGUAAGAGCAGCAGUCACAGAGGAAGAGGUCUUGGCCCCUUUUCUCAGAAGGGUACAUGCAUCUCUAAGCUGUCUGAAAGCCCUGGAUUUAUGUAGAGGCAGUACUCCUAAAGGCUACCUAAAGAACGUGGGUUGUCUUUGACGUGGUAUACCCUUCCAGUGAGCGUUGCCUGAAAUGGAGUUUCCCUCACUGUCUAUUCUCUUUAUUGAACCAAAUUUCUGUUUAUAGUCACAUUUGCUUUCUAUCCCAUGCUGUCUGUCACUUGUGUUGAAUAUGGGCUUUGCACACAUGCCAAAUAGUUUGUUACUUGGCGAGAGUUCACUGGCAAGAGAAUUUGCUUCUACGCAUAGUAAUAGGCAUGUUUGGCUAAUAGGCUCUUUGUCUAAAAGCCUUUUGCAUAUUCAGAGCUGCUCAUUUGUCACGCUAGCCUGACCUAGGCAGCAAAUAUUAAAAAAAGAGUCGUAAAUAUGCCCUGUUCUUACUAGAAUGCCAUCUGAAGCAAACAUUAGCUGUUUCAUGAUAGUCAUCUGCUGCUCUUUAACUUCACAAGCGUUGUCCAACCACACUUGUUUCUAGAACAGUUCUCCUGUCCAUCACUGAUUUUUUUUGCUUUUGGAAUUGCCUUACUGCAUUGUCUGUGUUCUCUUAAGAGUACAUUUAAUACUGAAAUGGACAAGUCUGAUGAUGUAGUAGUUUGGGGAUGGCAAAUUUGAUAACCUGGUACAUGCAGAGCUGACAGCUUAGGAUCUGUCCUGAUUUUACAAUUAAAAGAAGGAUUUUUUCCCUAUCUACUGGGUGUGUGUAACAGGGUCUGCAACUAGAAGUACUGCUCACUUGAAUGACAUGUUCCCUGCUUCAGCGGGCAGAUAACACCUGCAUUACCUGGCACAUCUUCCUAAUUUGUGCAAAAAAGUUGUUGUAAGUUCAACUGGUAACUUGAGAAGGCAGGAAUUUCCUUGGGUAUAUGCAGAUGGCAAGUGUCUGUAGUGUGGGGACUGCCUGGUUGUUGGUAUGAAAAUGCCUCAAUGUAUUUUUUGUAACUGGCUUUUCCCAUGUCUAAAGUAUAGAUUUUGCCCUGUAACAGCUUUCUUCCUGUCAGUAUUUAAUAAAUCGUCUAAAGGUUGAAAGUCACUUUUUAUUUUGAAAUACUUAGACAUAUUGCUUUGUUCUACCUCAAACUAGUGGGUUUGGGUGUAUAACAAGCCAAUUUAUUGGCAGAGUAAAAAUCAAUGGCAUACAUACACAGGACUUUUCCUAUUUUAAUUAGACUAUACAGACUACUUUUUAAACAGAAGUCAAAACAGCAUGUUGCAGAAACACACAAAACCCUAAUUUAAAGGGAUUAGGUCAGAGAACAAACUUUUCCAUUGUUUGCUGUGAAUCCUGUAAAAAUAGA